CACAGCCAGGUCCUGGAAGGUAAGUAACACAGUAACACAGCAAGGUCCUGGAAGGUAAGUAACACAGCCAUUAACACAGCCAGGUCCUGGAAGGUCAGUAACACAGCCAGUAACACAGCCAGGUCCUGGAAGGUAACUAACACAGCCAUUAACACAGCCAGGUCCUGGAAGGUAAGUAACACAGCCAUUAACACAGCCAGGUCCUGUAAGGUAAAUAACACAGCCAUUAACACAGCCAGGUCCUGGAAGGUAAGUAACACAGCCAGGUCCUGGAAGGUAAGUAACACAGUAACACAGCAAGGUCCUGGAAGGUAAGUAACACAGCCAUUAACACAGCCAGGUCCUGGAAGGUCAGUAACACAGCCAGUAACACAGACAGGUCCUGGAAGGUAAG